rnacentral:lncRNA from 10 species
CAGGGAAAAACAGGAAUUCUGCAAGUUUUCCCCCAGUGUGUAAGAAAAUACGGGCGAGCUCAUGAAAAAAUACAAUUAUGGAAUUUUUAAUGGAUCUCUCUAGCAUACAGGAGUUUGUGAACAGAACUUCUUGCCUGCUCUGGUUUCUGGACCUUCCCAAAUUACCAUUAAAAGGUACUGUCCUGUCUAUGGCUUGUAUGCUGCAGCAGAUGCCUCAACAAGCAGCCUAAAAGGGCAGACGGGAGACACUGGCCACGGAAGGCUUCCCAGAAAGGUAAUGUUUACAUGGAAGGAAGCAGGGAAGCAAAGGAGCAUCUUCCAGAGCUUACAUGAGAGCAAGUUCACAUGGCCCAAGAGAUGGCAGACAUUCAGACAGAGGUUGAAAACGAGGUGCAUGUGGAAGAGGAAAGUGGAUGGUGUUAGAAGGUGGGGAGGGGCCUGCUGAGCAGGGCCACAUGGAGCCUGUAGUCCCAGCUACUCGGGAGGCUGAGGCAGGAGAAUGGCGUGAACCCGGGAGGCGGAGCUUGCAGUGAGCCGAGAUCCCGCCA